AGAUUUGAGAAAUUUGAGAUGGUUCGGGUCAAGUGUUUUUUGUGUUUUAGAUUUGACAAGUUUCAAAUUCCUGGAGAAGAUAUAAAUAUGCAAAUUUGAAUUUUAAGGGUUUCUUUUAUGAGAUGAGAGCAAUUUUGGAAAAUUUUACAAGGUCUCUCUAAUUCGGCUGGGUAAGGAAGUGAAGAGAGUUGAGAGAAAAUGUUCCCAAAUGAAAGAGAUGGAAAGUUUUUGAUUUGGGAAAUUAGAGGUGUUGUCAGGAUGGGUGUUUUUGAGAACUUUUAAAUUCUAAUUUUUGUGUUUUGUUUAAUUUCAGAAGGUCUUGUUGACAUAGAAGCUGACUUGCUGCUAACAUGGAGACAUUGAGGGACAAUUUGGGAAGAGAAAAUGUAAACAUGACAUAGUGCACGAGAACGAUAAUAUUUUCUCCAAUAACAGGGAAAUCUCAUAUUUCAUAUACUUGGGGUUUGAAAAGCAUAUAAUUUUCAAAUCACAGACUGAAAACACAAGUUUCCCAUAAAUAUACUUAAAGCAUGUUUGAUAAUAAUUUUGAAAAAUAAUUUUCGACAAUAGUUAUUUAAAAUUGUUUUUUGUUGUUUAUAACAUAAAAAAAAUAUAUAUAUAAAAAAAACUUGUUUGACAACCUAAAAUAUUUUAAAAAUAAUAUUUAUAUUUAAUAUUUUAUUUUUAAUAAUUUUAUAUAUUUGGAUAAUUACUUUUAAAAAUAACUGUAAAAAAAAUAAGUGAAAACAAGUAAAGAUGUUAUCCGAAAAAAUUAUAUUUUUUAUUUUUAAAAACAUAUAACAUUUUUUCUUAUUCUCAAACAAGUUUUCCUGUUUUUUACGAAGAAAAAAUUAUUGUCAAACAAUCCCUUAGAUACUUGUGUUUUAUUAAGUGGUGAAAUAUCUUCAUAUGAAUUAUAUAGCAACUCAUAAGAGUAGCAGAAAAAGAGACAAUUUUAAAAGCGCAUAUGACAAGUGGAAAUUAUUAUAAAAAAAAAAAAGAGGCUAUUUUAAGAAUGGAUUUGAUGUGUCACAAAGACCACUAAAAUUUGGUGUGAAUAUAUUUAAAUAUAUAUAUAUAUAAGUUUUAAAUUUUGUUGAUUAGCAUAUCUAUAAAAAAAUUUAUUUAUAAAAUUUAAUUUUUAGAGAAAUUUUAGAUAAAAAGAUUUUAUAUCUAUUCAAUCAAAAAUUGAAACAGUAAAUGUAUUUACUCUAAGCUAUGGUGUGUGAAUUAAACCAACCUUCAAAUAAAAAUAGAAAAAAAAAAGUGAAUCAUAAUAAAAAGGAAAGUAGUCAAAAUCAAAAGGAGAAUCAAAUUUGAUUUCCAUAUUAGUGAUUUUUUUAAAAAAAUUCUAUUAUCAUUGUAAAAAAUAAUUCAAAUACAUUAAUAAAUUGAAAAUAAACUUAACUCUUAUUCUCAUUUUUUAUUCCAAUGUUUCAAAUAUAACGUCCAUUUAUUGAUUAGUGUUGCCAAAUCCGAACAAUUGCAUAGCAAUACAAAGAAAUAGAAUUGAGCAUAUAAAACACAAAUUUCUCAAUAAAUAAAACCAUAGCGAAAGUGCAAGUAUAUAAAUAACAUCAAUUUUAUCAUACAAUCUUAGCCAACACUUUUUUUUUUUAUAGUAUCAAAAAGCUACUGAAAAAAAUAUUUCUUAUCACCAAGAAAUUACUUUUUUUAAAUGAAAAAAUUAUUUUCAUUGAAUGAAUACAUAAGUCGUAUUUGGAAUAACUUCUUGUUCUUAAUUUUAAUUAAAAGCUAAAAGUCACAAAUUUUUAAAAAUAAUAUUGAUAUUAUAAAAAAUGUAUUAAACAUAAAAAAAAAACUUUUUAAAUAAGUCAAAAUAAAUCUUUAAAAAAACAUUUUCUUGAUUUUCAUAUUAUGUUAUUUCUUAAGUUAUAAAUUAUUUAAAUAAAAUGAGCGGCAUAAAAAUUUUUAUUGAGCUUUAAAAAUGGUUUUUGACUACUCAAAUCUACCCAAUCGGAACCAUAGUGCCCGAUAACUUGGGGCUAGAAAAAUUGGCAAAAGGAAUUAGGUUAAAGUUCAGUACAUGCUACAUGCAUCUUGUUAAAGGCCAUAAAAGCAAUUCCAUAAUAUAUCACAUUUGGAGUUUUGGAUUUGGGUUUUUGAUCUAAAAUGAGAGAAAUUUUGGGUUGUCGAAAUUGAAAGAUGAGAGAAAGCUUUCAAAUGAGUAAAUUGAAAACUUGCAGAUUGUGUGUGUUUGUGUUUUUUUUUAGAAGUUAUAGACUAAGAUUUUAGUAUUUUUUUUUUCUUAAUUUCAGUGGUUCUGUUGAUAUGGAGGUUGGAAUGAUGCUGAGCUGGAGACACGGAUGGACAAUUUAGGCAUAGAAGAUGGAGCCGGCUCAGAGGGCACAAAAACAAUAAUACUUUUCAUAUUAAAAAUUGAUUUUCAUAUUAAAUUUUAUACAUCUAUUUUAAAACAAUUAAAAUUUUCUACAAUAUUCAAUUAUAAUAUAAGUACUGCCUCUCACGGGUCGAUACUAAUGACGAGUGCAUGAAAUUAUUAUAAAUAUCUCAUGGAAUAAAGAAGAGGAGAGAGAGAGAGAGAGAGAGAGAGAGAGAGGGAGAAGAAGAAGACAACCAAAAAAGAAAAAGAAGACAGCAUUGUAAACAUAGAAAAUGGAAAGUAUUGGAAAUAUUUCAUGAAAUCGGAGUAAACAACAAAACAAAAUAAAGUACUUUUCAUUCCUGUUUCCUACUUCUGUCAUAAAGUAUAAAGUAUGGAUAGAGAUGAGACGAAGGAGGAGAAGGAGGAGCACUCAGCUUUCACCGGUACUGCAGUGUGUUGUGGUGGUGUAGCAUAUGGUAGGAUGUCAUUCUUGCUCCAAAAGUGUGGGCAGAUCCAUUUUUAUUUUCCUUUUUUCAUCUCUGUCCUCACUGAUUCGUUUUGGGUUUCCAUCAAUAUUUAUCAGUGGGCUUGGUGUUAGUCAAAAGCCACCAAUUUUUCUUUCCUUUUUUUUCCCAUAUAUUAGAAUGAAAUGUUGUUGUCCAUUUUAGGGGAAGGCGUUAUGCUGAACUGAACUGUGCGAGGGGAAUGAAAAUUAAUUUAGGGGUUUUCUUCCUCCUCUAUUUUUGGCUCUCUUUCAUGAGGGUACAGAUUGUCUUUUUUUCUCUCGGAGUGUUUGGAUUGUUUCAUUCCAUUUAACUAUUUUUGCAGCAUAUUCCGAGUGUUAUAGGUAUUGGGUAAUCAGUAAUACAGAAAAUGUAAUAUAAUUUUGUACUAUGUAUUUUUGGACUUGGGGUAGGAUGAGUUUAAUUUAUGUAGAUUCAUGUCACUAUUCUCAGCCUUCAAUGCAUUGAUUUCUCCAUAUUUUGAUAUAUAUAUAUACAAACUGCAAUGGGAAUAAAAAGGAUGGUUGUUUCUUCAAGAAUUCUGAGAAAAAAAAAGGGGGUAGGGGGGCAAGAGAGGUUUGAGGAGGCCAUUGGGACUUUUAUCAGUUCUGUGUCUUUUGUUUUCAAGUUGUAAGAAGUCCCUGUUAUGCCAUUUUCUAUGUUGUUUGUGUCCAAUUUUCAGUUGAAAGAGUGGUAGAUUAGAGAAGGAGGAAUGGCUCAGACAUCUGGAUGCAGCUCUGGAGAUGGUAGAUGGUCUCUCAAGGGAAUGACUGCUCUCAUAACUGGUGGAACUAAAGGAAUUGGGUUUGUGAUGUUACCUGUAUUCUGUCUUUGGUUUGGACUACACCUUCCUUCCCAUAUAUAAAUGUAUGUAUCAAUUAUGCAGGCAUGCAAUUGUGGAAGAACUGGCUGGACUAGGAGCAACCAUACACACAUGUUCUAGAAAAGAAACCGAGCUCAAUGAAUGCUUGAAGGAUUGGAAAGCUAAAGGUUUUGGAGUGAGUGGUUCAGUGUGUGAUGUAUCCUCUCGGGCCCAAAGGGAGAAGCUAAUGCAGACUACCUCUUCUGUGUUCAAUGGGAAGUUGAAUAUCCUUGUAAGUUCCCCUAGCCUGUAAAGUUCCAACCUGUGAUCUUACACAUAAUUUGUUGAACUUAUUACAAUUGAGUUCCCCUGCUUGAAUUUUUGUUGGAUUCAA
rnacentral:lncRNA from 1 species